rnacentral:lncRNA from 1 species
GGAUUUUCCUCUCCUUUGAGAAGAGGACAGAACUGCCUUUCUGCCGAAUAAAUCCAUUUUUCUCCAUUUCUCCUCUACAGAGUGAAACUCAGCACUUGCCUGGAAAAGUUCUAUGGGAGCUCAUUUUGUUGCCUGUUUUCUAGCUAUGGGGAACCAGCACUGCCACCGUUAGAAUGGAUCUGGUUGUGAGCAUCAAUUCAGAACUUUUUUUCCUCACCCAGGUUUGGAAUCACUGUCAUCAUUUGACGGAGGGGAAAUUUCUCACUGUAAUAAAUCAGUACAUUUUCAUGGUAUCGCAUGGUUGCAAAUCUGAGGUGACAUCAGGGUUUCUUUAUAAACCUUUGAGAACAUUCCUGAAGAAACAAGAAACAGAUUUGACUCACCACUAGCUUUUCUAACUUCAAAUCAACCGAUUCCACCUUUGCUACUUAGCAUACUUUUACUUAUUUCUAAGAGAUCAUCUGUUGUUCAUUUCAAGAACUGUUCAAAAUCUUUUCUAAUCAAGUCAGGCCUUCAAUCCCAUAUCCAACAGCAGUAGUUUUAGAUGGUAACCCUACUUCCUAAAUAAACUAAAUUAAAUUAAUAAAAUGAAAUAAAAG